rnacentral:misc_RNA from 1 species
GAUGAAGAACGUAGCGAAAUGCGAUAAGUAGUGUGAAUUGCAGAAUUCAGUGAGUCAUCGAAUCUUUGAACGCACAUUGCGCCCUGUGGUAUUCCGCAGGGCAUGCCUGUUCGAGCGUCAUUUCAACCCUCAAGCUCUGCUUGGUGUUGGGCCACGCCCUCGCGGCCGGCACCAAAGCCAGUGGCGGCGCCGUCCGGCUCUAAGCGUAGUACAUCUCUCGCUCUAGGGCCCGGCGGCUGCCUGCCAGAACCCCAAACUCUUAUGGUUGACCUCGAAUCAGGUAGGGAUACCCGCUGAACUUAAGCAUAUCAAUAAGCGGAGGA